UUUGUAUUUGGAAUUUGAUUGUUAAAGUGAUAUAUGAAGUGAUAAGGAAAAGUAAGAGAUAAAGGUAGUGGGAGGUCCACUAAAGUUUGUUGUCCCCUAAGCAAUUGAAUUGAUUCAUUUUACUUUGAAUUGAUAAUUUGUGAAGUGUCGGUACAAUUAUCUAUAUAUAUUGUGCCUUUUGGUGAUGAUACAGAAGAGAGAAAUAAAUGAAACAUUCACAGAGAGAUCCGAGAGUUUCAGAGGGGGCUGGGAGUAGUGAUGUUGAUGACCCAGUGUUGAUUUAUUCAUUUUACAGUUUUCAGGUACCGAGGAUGAACUUGGAUUGCUAGUAACGGGCUUAGGUGGAAGAGUUGGAGUUGAGGAUGAACUUGGAUUUGAAUUGAUAUUUGUGAAGUGUCGGUACAAUUGUCUAUAUGUAUUGUGCCUUUUGGUGAUGAUACAGAAGAGAGAAAUAAAGGAAACAUUCACAGAGAGAUCCGAGAGUUUCAGAGGGGGCUGGGAGCAGUGAUGUUGAUGACCCAGUGUUGAUUUAUUCAUUUUACAGUGUAGGGAUCAUCAUACCUUGAAUGGCUUGGAUGAUUUAUUUCAAAUAUUUUAUGUUUGCUCUUUUAAUUAAAUUGCAUAUACGUAUUUUUGUUUAAAUGUAUAUGUAUAUUUUUGUGAAACUAAUUUUGCAUGAAAUUUCUUGAAAUCCUUGUUAUGGUUUUUCCUACUGUCUCACCCUCCUACAGUUUCAGGUACCGAGGAUGAACUUGAAUUGCUAGUAGCGGGCUUAGGUGGAAGAGUUGGUGUUGAGGAAUUAUUUAAUUUAUUUUAGAGAUUUUGUAAAUAUUUAAUUGAGAAAAUUGAUUCUGUAUCAAUAAAAGGAUAUUUCUUUUUGA